CGGGACGUAGCGCAGCCUGGUAGCGCACUUGCCUUGGGAGCAAGGGGUCGCCGGUUCAAGUCCGGCCGUCCCGACCA
rnacentral:tRNA from 2 species